GUGUGAUUGUUGAGGCGAUAAAAGUUGACAGCUUGCAGAAGCUCUGCUCCUCUCUGGAACCUAUCCUCCGCAGAGUUGUGAGUGAGGAAGUGGAACGUGCUUUGGCUAAGUUCAUCACGUCUAGGCUAUGGUCAAAAUAUAUAGUGCCUCUUCAGAGAAAAUAAUACGGAAGUCUGAGAAACUCUUAAGAGAGAAAAGAAGUGAAGGUACACAUCCAAUUUGGAUCUUGAAGAAGAAUUCUAGCUCUCUCCGGUGAUAUGUGUGGGGGUACAGGAAAAUGUAAACUGUUACGGUGGAAGGUUUGCUUGGUCAGUUUAGGUACAGGUUUACCAAACAACAAAGGACUCAUUAGAAGGCCUGGUGCAGUGAGCUACUCGACACAAUGUACAAUGGUCGUCUUAUUCCCAAUUCUUGAGCCAGUAUAUAGUACAUGUCCUCAUUUCAUCUCCACAUAAGAUAAUUGGUCUGUUUUGACUGGGAAAAAUGAACUACUUAUUCUCUCAGCACAGUGGCAAUAGUUAUGAUUAUAGAAGAGGAAGAAAAGUAAUACAUCAUCGAUGCAUGGGAAGCUAUAUAGGAGAAUGAAAUGCUAGAACAUGUUUUUGUAAUGGUUCUAGCUCUGUGUUGUUAAUUCUUUAUAAACCUAAUAGCUUUCUUCUUCUUUAGAGUCUUGACAACGAUACAAACAUCAGGCGUAUGUUGGCCUCUUGAACGUUCUCAAUUCUAUAUUUUUCACUUUUGAUAUGGGUGACUGAAACUUUUCUUUCGA